UAACCCAACAAGUUAAUUUCUCGUAGCAGUUGCUGCUAUGAAAACACACUCCAGCAUCCUUCUUUUGUUGUGUAUUACAUCUCUUCUGAUCGAAACCUUGUAUCUCAUGCGCCAUACUGAAGCACCUUAACGGACUCUGCUGCCAUGGAAUAUGUUAAGUUAAAUAACCGGCUAGACAGCUCUCAGCGUUAGCUUAGCAUGCUAGUUAGAGGCGCAGGAAGUCAUCAACGCUUCGAGUCAGGGCGUCAGUUUGAUGUAGAGAAGGUUGUUGUAUGACGGAAUUUAUGGAGAACAAGUUACUGCUGGGACUGUGUGAAAAUGUCUGAAAUCCAGAUGGUGAGCGGGUUGGAGGACAGACAGCUAACUGUAGUAGAAGAACCAGGCAGUCCAAGUGGAGAGCAGCUAGUCUCUCAGCUUGGUGAUGUCCAGCAGCUCUUGGUGAUCAAAAAGGAGAUUCCUCCUGAGCAGCAGAACUCGAGUCCCAGUCUGGACCAUGAGGAUUUAAAACCCGCAGACAUUAAAGAGGAACUGGAGGAGGCUGAUAUCACAGAGUUUAUAUUCAGUCCUGUCCUCAUAAAGGGUGAAGAGGAUGAGGAGAAACCUCAGUCCUCACAGCUUAAUCGUAGCCAGACUGAGGACAACAAAGACUCAGUGGGAGAACCAGAAGCAGAUCCAGAUCAAGGUUCAGAUUCAGACACUGAAGACAAGACUUCAGAGUCUUCAGAGACUGACGUCAGUGAUGGGAACUGGGAAGAAAGCAGUGAACCUCUGUCAAGUUUAAACUCUAUCAAGCUCAGUAAAGCUCCUGCAGAUGAUGCAAGAUGUGAUACUAAUGCAAAGUUACACAAAUGUACUGAAUGUAGUAAAUCAUUUGAAUACAGGUCACGUUUGUUAAAACACAUGAGAAUCCACACGGGCGAAAAACCUUUCAGCUGCUCUGUCUGUAAAGCAGCAUUUACAUGGAAACACUCCUUUGUGCAACACAUGAGAAUCCACACAGGAGAAAAACCUUUCAGCUGCUCCACCUGUGGUCGAUGUUUCAGAAGAAGGGAAGGUUUGACUCGUCACGUGAGAUCUCACACUGGUGGAAAACCUUACAACUGUGCUGUCUGUAACGAAGCUUUUACAUGGAAACAUGAUCUAGUGGAACACACAAAAAUACACACAACGGAAACGUUCAGCUGCUCUGUUUGUAAGGAAGAUUUUAUAUCAAAACACAAUUUAGUGCAACACAUGACAGUCCAUACAGGAGAGAAACGUUUCAGCUGCUCUGUUUGUGAGGCAGCUUUUACACGCAAACACUCUUUUGUGCAGCACAUGAGAAUCCACACAGGGGAGAAGCCGUUCGGCUGCACCACCUGUGGUCAAAGCUUCAGCAGAAAAAAACACCUAACUCGUCACAUGAGAUCUCACACAGGAGGAAAACCAUUCAGCUGCUCCAUCUGUGAUGAGUCUUAUACAUGGAAACAGGAUUUGGUGGAGCACACAAAAACUCACAUAAGAAAAACCUUCAGUUGCUCUGUUUGUAAAGCAGAUUUUACAUCAAAACACAAUUUAGUACUACACAUGAGAACCCACACAGGAGAGAAUCCUUUCAGCUGCUUUGUUUGUCAGGCAGCUUUUAAGGUUAAAACCAAUUUAGUGAAGCACAUAAGAAUCCACACUAAAGAAAAACGUUUCAACUGUUCCGUGUGCAAGGCAGGUUUUAGAUCGAAACACAAUUUAGUGCAACAUAUGAGAAUCCACACCGGAGAAAAACCUUUCAGCUGCUCCAUCUGCCAUAGAGGCUUCAGCAGGAGGGAAGGUGUAACCCGUCACAUGAGAUGUCACACUGGAGAAAAACCUUAUACGUGCUCAGUCUGUAAGGCAACUUUUAAAUGGAGUAAUGCUUUUGCUGAACACGCAAGAAUCCACACAGGAGAAAAACCUUUUAGCUGCUAUGUUUGUACGGCUGCUUUUAGAAAAAGAAACAGUUUAUUGCAACACAUGAGAAUCCACACAGAAGAUAAACCUUUCUGCUGCUCUGUUUGUGGAGUCGCUUUUAGAAGGAAACAGGAUUUGGUGUAUCACACUAAAGUCCAUAGCAAAAUCAAUUUCAGAUGCUCCACUUGUAAGGUAGCUUUUAAGAGGAAGGACAGUUUAGAGCGUCACAAGAGAACUCACGCAGGGGAAAGAUCUUUCAUUUGCUCUUUUUGUAAGGUGGCAUUUAGAAGCAGGAAUAAUUUAAAGACACAUAUAGGAGUUCACAGUGGAGAGAAAUCGUAUAGCUGCACAGGGUGCACCAAAAACUUUACUCAGCUGUCUGAGGUCAAAGUGCAUCAGCAGCACUGUCCAAAAAGCUGCAGUGAGUCCAGCUGAGUUUACUGCUACUACUAAUGGAAACAAAGGUAACGUGAUUGCUACCCUCUUAAUUAAUCCUAAUCAUUCUGCAGCAAGCUGCACAGUCAAAACAGUCAUUCAUUAGAUCACCCACAUAUGAGCCCGUGUAAGAUAUGAAAACAGGAUUCAGUUCAGGACUAAUUUUUGGAACAUAAUUAAAAAUAUUACAGAAGAGAGUAUUUUGCUUAUUGACACAGAAAUCAUGCUGCUUUAUGAAUAUUUGCAAGUUUCAAAUUCAUGUCAAGAAUGUGAUUUAAAAAAGUUAAGAUUUGUUUUUAAAGAACAAUAUGAUGGAGAAAAAAAUGUAGUUCUGAAAAACAUGAGGAGAUAACCCUACUUGUCAAAACUGAUCAAUUUGUCACUAUUAAUUUUUAUUAGGUAGGUUCAGGUUGGGGGAUUGUUGAGGCCAGCGAUCUGAUGCACACUGCCUGCCACUUGGAACCUGUCAAGCAAACAUGUAGAGUCGAAAUUGAAUAUUGGUACCUCCAAUGAGCUUUUCCUCUACAGUAGAGGCAAAUAUUAGUCUUUCUGUCCUGGAAGGUCUUCAUGUUAACCAGUUUAUUCAUGUUUUUUUUUUCUUUUUUGCAUUUGCAUUUGCAUUUGCAUUUGCACUUAAAGAUCCAUUCAAAGUUCAUGUAAUUUUUAUGGACUACUGUUUGUGUUUGGAAGUAAUGAAGGUGUGUCCCUUUUUUAAACUUAAACAGUUCUUACCAUAAACAUUGUUGUAAAGACAUGUAUUCCACACACCAGUAGCACAUCUGAUGGUCUCAAAAGUGUAAGUAUGCAAGAAGUUAGGUUGAUUAACUUUAGGUGUAAAAUCAGCCAACUAUUGCUGAACAUGUAGGAACUCCUUUAAGACAAGACUGUUGUAAAAAUAAAUGUGGCUCUUUAAAUAAUCUUCAAUAUGAAGUAUAUUAAUGUUUUAGUAUUUUUUUCUAACAGUGUGAUUCCCAUAUAUGCGAGAGUAUUUGCAUGUCUUCAGUAUUGCUGAACAAUAUAGGAAACAGUAAAAAUAAAGCAAAACCUACAAGAUUCAGUUAUCUCAGUGUGUUCAAUAAGAGGAUUGGAAAAACCUAAUCACACCUUAUUGUGCUCAAUAAGGUGUGAUUUUUUUGUACUGUUAUAUCUUUUGAUAUUGCAAAGGGAAUAACUACAAAAAAAUUCCUGUUCUUUCAAUUCCUCCAGCUGCAUGGAAGUGGUGGUUCCGUUAUAGAGCUUUUAUUUUUUAUUUCCAACGGGAAGUGUCACCUACUAGCCAGCGGAAGUAGUUUACUGGUAGCAACAUCUGCUACAUGAACAGUACUAUUUUGUUUGUUUGUUUUUCUUCUUCUUCUUUUUAUCUUUUAGUGUGCUUAACCUCCAAACUGAGUGAGCUCUCAGAGUCGCUGGACUGGGUCAACAUGUCUUGACCGAUUAUGCGUUGUACAUUUAGUUUCUAAAUUUAUUUUCUUGACUCUGCUGCACACAGCAGCAAAGCUACAGGGUUUGGCUUAGCAUGUUAGCUGGAGGCAGGCUGAUGGGGACGGGACCGAGCAAACCAGAGUGACUGGAGUGUGAUGGAGAGCAGACUACAAGAGGAAAAUGUUGCUGUGAUAGCAGUGUGAAAAAUGUCUGAAGUCCAGAAGCAGAUACCGAGUUCUACAAAUGAAUCAGCCACCAGUUUCGACAUCCAGCAGUGUUCGCUGAUCAAAGAGGAGCAUCCUCCUGAGGAGCAGAACUGUAGUCCCAGUACCGACCACGAGGACUCAAAGCUCCAAUACAUAAAACAAGAGGAUGAGGAGGCCGACAUCAUCAAGUUCACGUUCAUUCCUGCCUCUGUGAAGAGUGAAGAAGAUGACGAGGAACCUCAGUCCUCACAGUUUUGUCAUAACCAAACAGAGGAGAACAGAUUCGGUGUGGAAGAACGAGAUCGAGAUCAAUGCUUAGAAUCUGACACUCAAAACAAGGUGUCCGAGUCCUCAGAGACAGAUGUCAGUGAUGGAGGCUGGGGGGAAAGUGGUGCACUUCAGUCUGUUUUAAACACUGGUGAUGUUACCUGUAACACUGGCAAGAAAUUACACAUCUGUAGUGACUGUGGUAAAACAUUCAGCCGAAGGGGACGUCUUAUUGGGCACAAGAGAAUCCACACCGGAGAAAAACCAUACAGCUGCUCUGUCUGUAAUGCAGCUUUCACAUGGAAAAACGCUUAUGUGGAACACACCAGGAUUCACACAGGAGAACGACCUUUCAGCUGCUCGGUCUGUAAUGCAACUUUUAAAAGGAAAUAUACUUUGGUACAACACUUGAGGACACACACAGGAGAGAAACCUUUCAGCUGCUCAGUCUGUGGGCAAAGCUACAGACACAGCGUGGGUCUAAGCCGUCAUAUGAGAAGUCAUACAGGAGAAAAACCCUACACCUGCUCCUUCUGUGAAGCAACAUUUAAAUGGAAAAAUGCUUUUGUGGAACACACAAGAAUCCACACAGGAGAAAAACCUUUCAGCUGCACCCUCUGUGAGGCAGCUUUUAGAAGGAAACAGGAUUUUGUCAACCAUACAAGAGUCCACAGUGGAGAAAAGGCUUUUAGCUGUUCAGUUUGUGGUCAAGGUUUCAGUAAAACCAUAUAUUUAACUUCUCAUAUGAGAUGUCACGAAGGACAAGAUCAUUUCACUUGCACUGUCUGAAAGUUUGUUUUUAAAAGAAGCUACAAUUUGGUCAAACUCAUGAGAUGCCACACAAGAGAACAAAGUUACAGCUGCAGUGGCUGAAGUUGAUGUGAGUACAGUUGUAAAAGUCAUAAAAACAACUUUAGAAAAAGAUAUUAAAGCAGGACUGAGGUUUUAUGAGUUCAUGUUUGUACAUACACAGCAAAUUAUAUUACCAAGGACCAUUUACCAUGUUUAUCAUCUAAGUUAAUUGUACAUAGUUAUAAACUGUGAUAUUCUGUGACAGAAAUGAAAUUGCAAAAGAUCUGAUGUGAAAUACAUUUGAAUUGUAUCUUAUGUUAUAUUAGAUGUGCCAUUUGUAAGGUGUUAUUUGAAAGGAAAGAUGGUUUAACCCGUUAAAGCCUGACCCAUUAAAAAGUGGUAAGAAAGGUCCAAUUUUUGAAAUAUGAGGUCUUUAUUUGGCCCUUCAACAAAAUGUAACA